UAAAUGAGUAUUUAAAUGAUUAAAAUCCAUAUAAAGCUCCAUGAAAAAGUUAGAAAGGAGAAAAGGUACAGUGCUAGGGUUAUGUAGGGAAGCAAAAUUUUCCAUCCCCCAAAAUGCAUCUCUUCAGCCUGAGGAUUUGUUUAUGNUGACUAUUUUUAAAAAACAGAAGCAUCAGGAUGUUUUUUUUCUUACCUUCCCAUUUACUGUCUAGAGGAAUUUAGGUAAAGGGCCUGACUGGGAAUCGAACUAUCAUCAGAGAUAGCAGAGCAAAUGAAAAGCCAUGGACUCUGCUUACCAUCCUUCUCCCAGACUCCUUUUCUUCCACAUAAAAGCAUUCUCCUUCCCUUGCUAUUCAGGGACUUGCACUUGGCUGCCCUGGUUGCAGACCCUAAACUGCACUUCUCUGCUGAUCCCAAAUAAGCUUAUGCUUUCUGGACAAAUAUUUAGCAGUCUGUUUGUUUCAGUUCAACACACCAAACUUUGGCGAGAGACCAUAAGUAGUUUCAUAGCCCACCUUCCACUGAGAGCACUGAGAGUGUCUUUUUUUUUUUUCCUGGGUAAACAAUGAUCUGAGUUUUGAGGAGACAGAUUAUUUCCUUAAUCCAAUCAAUCAUUAAGGUGUUAUUUAAACAGCCUGUGCCUCUUCCAUGCUUAAUAUGAUUCAGUUUACCAAAGUAAAUGCAAAAAAAAAGGCUUUCAGAAACAUAACACUAUUUUUUAGCAAUAGGAAAUGCUCCUCACCCUGCCUCCUUUACAUAAUGCUGCCUGAGGAUGAUUAGAAAUAUUCACAGGUGAUAUUUAAAUUAGGCAAAAAAUGUGUAUUUGUUGCAAAACAAGUGAACAAAGGAAAUGGAGAUAAACACAGGGUGUUUCAUCAUCUGAAGACAUUUUCUCUAGCUUCCUAACAGAGGGCAAUUUAAUUCCGAAAGAUUGCAUGUAUUGAUUGAAGUACUGGCCUCUAGAUACUGAACAGAUGAAUGAAACCAAUGAAAAGGGCACUUACUGUUCACAUUUCCCAAUAUGAGUGAACAAGUAUUAAUAAAAGCAGAGAGUUAAUUUUAGAAAAUGGCACUUGCCCCUAAAGAUCGCAUUUAUUGAAAAUGUUUUGUAAAAUGGGGUUGUAGGUUAUUAGCCUAAAACGUACACGGCUUAAAAGAGAGUGAAGCCAGAGAGCGCAGCUGCCAGGGAGAAUGGCUUCAGAUGCUGCUCUGGAGAGAGAUGUCCGCCUCAGCUGCCUGAAGCAGAACCGGGACUUAAGGGAGCUUCUAACCCGGGGAAUGGCUUUUAUAGGGUUGUGGAAGCUUGUGAAUAUCUGCUUUUCAAUUUUAGCUCUUCUGUUGCUCCUGCUCACUCUCCACAUUUCUAGAUUAUAGGUCCUUUUCCAGACUGUUGUCUCCCUAAUGGUGCUUGCAAGCAGGUGUGCCUUGAGUAAUGGGAGGUGUGAUCUCCUCAGGGAGUUUAUAUCUGAAAUCUAUACAUUAGAAGAACGGAAAGAAAAAAGAAUACCUGCAGAUCAUGUGUAGUCUCUUAAAAGAAGUAUCUGUCUCUGACAUAUAGCAUAUAAAACCAAUAAAUCGCCUUGCAGGUGACUAAGGAGAUGAGUUAGAAAGAAGAAGCAUUAACCGUCUUUCAGAUGGUCAGGUUCUUUGGGUGGUGAGCUAGGUUUUACAAAUGUUAGUGAUUUUAAUCUUUACAAAAAUUCUAUGAUAACACCCAUGAUUGAAAGGGUGGGUAGAUUGAGGCUUAGAUAGGGUAACAUGUCCAAGGUUCAGAUCACUGUGAAUUGGCUUAGUCUAUUUAGUCUGUCUGAAUGAUUAGGUUCUUUUGGUAGCCAUGUCAAAGAAAAAUUUGCAUGGGACAAUACUAAACUGGCAAGGAAGGUUUUAUUCAAGGCUUUUACAUUCGUUGUGGGAGACCACAAUUAUGGCCGAACUCACCUCUGCUAUAAUAAAGAGCUGGAGUAGGACAAUCUUAGGUCAUCUGUGUUUGCUAAUUGGCUUUAUCCAAAGGAAAAAUAAACUUCCUUUUAUUCAUGGCAGGAGAUAAUUUUACAGUGUGGAGUAAGAUGCCCUCCAACAUUAGGCUCAUACCCUCCCAAGGAAACUUGGGAGAAGGGGCUCUGUCUUCCUCAGUGAUUACAUUUCAGAAGGAUGGCUCCCAGGGCUUUGAGGAAGAUAGUCAUAGGUUGGAAAAUUGGCAAGAAGCUUUUGAAAAGAUUUACAUAUAAAACAUAAAGAGGAAGAAUUUAUAGUUACAGGUUUUUUUGGGGGCAAAUGCUCUAGGAAAGGGAGAUCAGGAUCAAGAGGCGGGAAGAAGGCUGACAAAUUUAGUCAGACUGAGGGAGGUGCUGAGGCCCUGGGUCUUGGUCAGUCCUCCCUUUUGUUCCAGGGAAGCCAGGCAUCCAUUGAACAGCUUAAGAAAGCAAGUCCAUGUAGUUUGUUUAGCAUAUUUCUGUGAUCAAAGGACUGUUUGGAACGUCUGCUGAGACUUGGAUGGUGUGAGCAAUCAGGCAUUUUAAUAAGGAGGAUUUAUAUGGAAAUAAAAAGGAGAACAAAGACUAGCAUUGGAUCUGACUCUAAACCUAGAUCUUGAGCCCAGAGGGCAGGCAGUUGAGAUGAUUCCUAGACAUUGGGCUUGAAGCAUCUUUAGAUGGUGCACUGAGUAUGGCAGUGGCAAUCUGAGAUUUCCCCAUUUGCUUCUGGGAUAUUAUUGGUGAUGGCAUAGACAUUAGAGAUGUUUUGGUAAGAUUGUACACAGGAUUGGUUAUUUUCCAUGGAGGAGGUGGAAGUUCUGGUGAACUUCCUGAGGUGUCUGAGAGUUGCAGCUCCAGCUGUAAAGGCUGCCCACACAUGAUCUGCUGAGUGAUGGUACUUUGAAGUUAUGUGGAAUCAUCUGGCUGCAGCUCACAGGGUACUUCAGAGCCUGGGGUGGGGGGAAAGACCAGCUACAAGACAGUCUAGGGCCCCACUAAGGAUUUGGGGGGGGGAGUGUUAGUUUUAGUUCUGACUCCAGUCAGUUGGGUGGGAGAAAAAUUAGAAAUGUAAGUUUGGAGGGUUGUAGUUAUAUGUUGAUAAAAACUGCAGAAAUUUAAAAUUUGGUAAGGGCUGACAAUUUGUGCAAGGUAAAAGGAUCUAGCAUAAUUUACAGGUAGGAAACAAUACCAUUCAGUUUAAAGAGAAGUAAAAAAUAGCUGAAAAAAAUGAAUAUGCCAGAAUCCGAUAAUGCACAAGGCUGUAGUAGAGUUUUCUCUUGAAACAAUUUCUCUCCAAGAAGGGGACCUUCCUAUACUUUUGGUGGGAAUGUAAAUUGGUGCAGCCAUUAUGGAGACCAGUAUGGAGAUUCCUCAAAAAACUAAAAAUAGAGUUGCCGUAUGAUCCAGCAAUCCAACUCCUGGGCAUAUAUCCAGACAAAACUGUAGCUUGAAAAGAUGACAUGCAUCCCUAUAUUCAUAGCAGCACUAUUUACAACAGCCAAGAUAUUUAAACAACCUAAAAGUUCAUUGAUGAAUGGAAGAAUGGAUAAAGAAGACAUGGUACAUAUAUAAUGGAAUAUCACUCAGCUAUAAAAAAGAAUGAAAUAAUGCCAUUUGCAGCAACACAAUCAACCUAAAGAUUAUCAUACUAAGGGAAGUAAAUAAGGAAAAAACAAAUACCGUAUAAUAUCACUUAUUUGUGGAGUCUAAAAUAUAGCCUACACGAACCUAUCUGCAAAACAGAAAUAGCCUUAUAGACAUAGAAAACAGACUUGUGAUUGCUAAAGGGAAUGAGAAGAUGGGAGAGAAAAGGAUUGGGGGUCUGGGAUUAGCAGAUGCAAACUAUUAUAUAUGGGGUGGAUGAACAACGAGGUCCUACUUUAUAGCACAGGAAAUUAUAUUCAAUAUCCUGUGAUAAACCAUGAUGGAAAUUAUGGAAAAGAAUAUAUAUAUAUAUUGAUAUGUAAUAUAAUCAAUUUGCUGUACAGCAGAAAUUAAUACAAUAUCAGCUAUACUUCAAUAAAAUAGAAAAAUUCUCUUCACAGUUGCCUCACUUUUGAUUGGUGAUAAUCAAAGUAAAAUUACUUUCCAUUGUAAAAUAAAUAUAGUCUCAUUAGAUUUGGCCUGAUUAUUUACAGAGGUGCAGCAAGAAUGGUAAUUAACCACAUAUGUCUUUUAAAGUUUGCUUUGCUGAAAGCUUUUAUAAGGAAUUUCAGGUUGAACUUUUAAAAGCUUGCUAAGCCUAGGAAGCUGAGCCAGGAACUUGCUACCAGGUUUCACCAGCAGUACUUAUAGAUUUGGAUGAAUUUCUCUCUUCUUGAUUUCACCUGCAGUACUCAUAGAUUUGGAUGAAUUCCUCUCUUCUUGAGGUCCCCAACAUCCAAUUUUCCAAGCCUUCCAGGAGUGACUUCCCUUAUUCACCUAUAAGCCUAGUACAAGGCUAGUUUUCCCAAGAAGACUUUACAAGUAUUGGCUGCAUAAAGUUGAUCUUAUUUCCUUGAAAUUGUUUGGUCACAUCUGGUUUUAUGCACAUCAUUCUCAAGUAUUUCACUAGAGUUGAAGCUUUGGUUAUAUAAUUAAUAUUUCUAAUUAUGUUCUGUUACAAGGAGGACAGAUUUUUUUUCUUUUUAUGGCUGCAACUGCAUCAUAUGGAAGUUCUUGGGCUAAAGGUUGAAUUAGGGUUAUAGCUGCUAGCCUACCUCACAGCCAUAGCAACACUAAAUCCAAGCCACAUCUGUGACCUAUGAUGCAGCUUGUGGCAACUCCAGAACCUUAUCCUACUGAGUGAGGCCAGGAAUUGAGCCUGCAUCCUCAUGGACAGUGUGUUGGGUUCUUAACCCACUGAGCCACAAUGGGAACUCCAGGAGGACAUAUUUUUUUUUUAAAUUGAACAUAUAAUAAAUAAUUGUAUUGCUAUGAAAUUAAGAGUACUCAAAAUUGGAGUUCCCAUUGUGGUUCAGUGGACACUAAUAUGAGAAUCUAUAUAUAUAAGAGAUUGUUUUAGGUUGUUCAUCUCUUAAUUGCAAGUUUAUCUCCAGUGUCAUGCAUUUGUACCCUCCUCUUCUCAUGAUUUCUGAUUUUGAUGGCAUAAUCGUGCAUGGAUGGUUUCAUACUUUUUCUGUAUAUAUACCUUUACUGGUGAGCCUUGUCAUUUGUGGUAUUUUUGUUUCCUGUUGCAGCUUUUCUUUUCUGCCUAGAGAAGUUCCUUUCGUAUUUGUUGUAAGGCUGGUUUAGUGUUGCUGAAUUCUCUUAGCCUUUGCUUAUCUGUGAAGCUUUUGGUUUCUCCUUCAAAUCUGAAUGAGAGCCUUGCUGGGUAGAGUAAUCUUGGUUGGAGGUUUUUUCCUUUCAUCACACUAAGUAUAUCAUGCCACUCCCUUCUGGCCUGCAGAGUUUCUGCUGAAAAAUCUGCCAAUAGCCUUAUCGGGGUUCCCUUGCAUGUUACUUGUUUCUUUUCCCUAGCUGCUUUCAAGAUUUUCUCUUUGUCUUUAGUGUUGGUCAGUUUGAUUAAUAUGUGUCUCGGGGUAUUCCUCC
rnacentral:lncRNA from 1 species